UUACACGCACCCCUCUCGCAAGUUAUUCAGCCACAAAAUGGCGGAACUCGACGCGAAAGACCCCAUUUUGUCAAGCAGACGACACGAGCAGUUGGAAAAAGCGGAAUUUAAUAUUUCCAACGCUGUUUUCAGCGAGUUGUGGAUGUUUUUCUCGGCGCCUGCUGAUAUGUUGUGGCGUCGCGCGGCAGAUGGAGAAUAAUGUGCGCGCGCUCUGGCUUUGACGCAGCUCGAGCGCUCAGCGGCUGAAGACACAUCAAGAUACAUUUAUCCACCAGAUUAGAUUUAUAUCACAUCUGUACAUUAAUAAAGCUUAGAAAACUUAGCA
rnacentral:lncRNA from 1 species